rnacentral:lncRNA from 1 species
AUGUGUAACAAAAUGGCUACAAAUAAAUGGAGAAGCACAUCAUCCAACCUGGUGGAGAAUGAAGGCUCCUCAUGUGAAGAAUGUCAGAGAACACUACCUGCUUUAAAAGACACCAGGAAAACAUUUAAAUUACUUUUCUACGCGAAGGAUAGAUCCUACAUACUUGGUUCCCUGCUGAUGAAGAAUGUGGGCACGGUAGACACCAGCUGCUUUGGUGACAUGAUUCUUCAUCAGUAAUAACUAAUCAUAGGUGAAAGGACAUUUAUCUAGUGUCAUGUGAAAAAGGACUACUGCUUCACUUAAAGAGAAGCCUACUUUCAGUUACUGUAACAUAUAAAUAGCUUUCUGGCUCUCAAAUAUUCCUUUAGAAAACACCAGUAGUAGAUAGAAAUCACAUUUUUAUGGAUUUUUGUUUGACUUGCUUAUGCCUUUGUUCUUCAAUUGUUUUCCUUUGGUUAACUUUUUAAAAUUCAAAUUAAAGGGGUUAUGAGUUUCAACUAGUGGGAAUUAUCCUAAUUGUAUUUACAUUAUCAUGCUAUAGGAAUUACAACACAUGCACUUCUACAAUUUGAAACUGAUAGGAUUGUAAUAAAGGCUGACACUGUCACA